GACGAACGCUGGCGGCGUGCUUAACACAUGCAAGUCGAACGGAAAGGCCCCCUUGUGGGGUACUCGAGUGGCGAACGGGUGAGUAACACGUGAGUAACCUACCCUUGACUUUGGGAUAACUUCAGGAAACUGGGGCUAAUACCGGAUAGGAGCUCCUGCUGCAUGGUGGGGGUUGGAAAGUUUCGGCGGUUGGGGAUGGACUCGCGGCUUAUCAGCUUGUUGGUGGGGUAGUGGCUCACCAAGGCUUUGACGGGUAGCCGGCCUGAGAGGGUGACCGGCCACAUUGGGACUGAGAUACGGCCCAGACUCCUACGGGAGGCAGCAGUGGGGAAUAUUGCACAAUGGGCGGAAGCCUGAUGCAGCAACGCCGCGUGCGGGAUGACGGCCUUCGGGUUGUAAACCGCUUUCGCCUGUGACGAAGCGUGAGUGACGGUAAUGGGUAAAGAAGCACCGGCUAACUACGUA
rnacentral:rRNA from 1 species